rnacentral:rRNA from 1 species
UAACGCGUGGGUGACCUGCCCCAUACCGGGGGAUAACAGCUGGAAACGGCUGCUAAUACCGCAUAAGCGCACAGAGCUGCAUGGCUCAGUGUGAAGAACUCCGGUGGUAUGGGAUGGGCCCGCGUCUGAUUAGGCAGUUGGCGGGGUAACGGCCCACCAAACCGACGAUCAGUAGCCGGCCUGAGAGGGCGACCGGCCACAUUGGGACUGAGACACGGCCCAAACUCCUACGGGAGGCAGCAGUGGGGAAUAUUGCACAAUGGGGGAAACCCUGAUGCAGCGACGCCGCGUGAGCGAAGAAGUAUUUCGGUAUGUAAAGCUCUAUCAGCAGGGAAGAUAAUGACGGUACCUGACUAAGAAGCCCCGGCUAACUACGUGCCAGCAGCCGCGGUAAUACGUAGGGGGCAAGCGUUAUCCGGAUUUACUGGGUGUAAAGGGAGCGUAGACGGCAAGGCAAGUCUGAUGUGAAAACCCAGGGCUUAACCCUGGGACUGCAUUGGAAACUGCCUGGCUCGAGUGCCGGAGAGGUAAGCGGAAUUCCUAGUGUAGCGGUGAAAUGCGUAGAUAUUAGGAAGAACACCAGUGGCGAAGGCGGCUUACUGGACGGUAACUGACGUUGAGGCUCGAAAGCGUGGGGGAGCAAACAGGAUUAGAUACCCUGGUAGUCCACGCCGUAAACGAUGAAUGCUAGGUGU